CCGAGUGGAAAGGGCAGGACGGGCAUCUUGGAGAGGGUCUCCCAGCCUGUGGUUGGGGACGGAGGAGCCUCAUCAGGGGUGGGCAGGGUGACAGCCACCUCCCUGGCCCUUGGAUGAUGCAGGUUCCCAGUCCGUCUGGGGUUCACAUCCCACCCCCAGGGCUCCAAGCAAGAACAGAGCCCCCAACGACCCUUGGACACCGUCUCGGAGCCUCCACCAGGCCGCGGGGCGAGGGGCUCCCGCAGAGCAGCAGUCACAGGUGCCACCGUGCGCCCUCCUCCUUGCACUCCAGCCACAGGCCCCGUUGUCCUUGAGUGCCCCGGAGCGCCUGCCUCAGGGUCUUCGCCCUGGGCCUCCUCCCCACAGCUGCCCUGGCUCUUCCUCUUCAUCCGCGAGCUCCUGGCCUGGCCGAGGCCGCGCCCCUCGCCAGCGCUCUUCACCGGUCACUGUGUGGUCUUCUCCAUGGCAGUUUUGACGUCGGCCGUCGGCGCUGUCUCUGGACCCUCCACCCCACGACAGGCGACCAUGGCGAGGACAGAAACCUGAGGAGCCCCGAGUCUUGGGCAGACUGAGUUCACGUAUUUCAUGGAGAUUGCUUCUGAAUGUGAUGGCGGGCUACCUGCUCGGCUGUCUGUACCUUCAACGUGUGACCUGAAGGGAGGAUGGCCCUGACACAGAAAGCGCAGCGCACCUAAGAGAUGGGCGUUCAGCAUGAUGUCGUCCAGCGGCUUCUUCAGAAGUGAAGUUCUCCAAAGAUCUUCAGUCUGGCGGCUUCAUCUUUUACUGAAGAUGCAGAUUAACAGGAUUCUUUUUAAAGGUGUGUUUCUUCAUCUUGAAUGGGCGCUCCUGAAGUCUCUUAUCAUGGACUACGUACUUUACAGAGUUAUCAAAAAUUAUCUAACCGACAAACAUGUCUUUAAAAACUUGGGCUCGGGGAGCGGUUAGAAAUCAAAGUGUGGCUUUAGAUUAGGGUUGAUUUUAUGGCCAAGGGGAGGGCUAUGGCCCUUUGAACGCUCUGCAGCUGAACAAGAACAAAGGGGUGGGUGUGUGAGCUGCGUAACGGCCGCACUGACCUAGCCCACCCAGCCCAGGUCUCAGGGGCCACCACGCUUCCACAGUGCUCUCCCAGGAACGAGGCCUGCACCUGCUCCCUGUGGCCACUGUCCUUGAGAAGCCACCUCAGUCCCCUGGAACUGGACCAGCUUGGGAUGCAGCAGGACUUCGCCCGGCCAACUCUUGGCUUUGAAGAGCGAGUCACUGGGUUAUUUCUGGACGAUGAGUUUCGGGGAGAUGGAAAACCAGCAGGCGGGAUCUUCAACCCACCCAUUUCUCCAAGGCUGCUCCCCGGGAAACAGAACUUUCUUUCUCACUGUGGUAAAAUAUGCACAACAUAGAUUUACCAUUCCAACCAUCUGCAAGUGUGCAGCUCAAUGACAUAAGUACAUUCACACUGAGGCACGGCCAUCGCCGCCAUCCACAUCCGACCCGUUUUCAUCUUCCCAAACUCAGACUCUGCUGGUUACACAGCCCCGUCUCCCCAGCCCCUGUACCCACCAUCCUGAUUUCUGUGCCCUGGACUUACUUCAGGAGGGACGGCAUGUAAGUGGAAUGGUAAGGUAUCUGUCCUUCCGUGACUGGCUUAUUUCACUCAACGUGAUGUCUUCAAGUUCAUCCGUGCACCUGAAUUUGGUUCCUUUGAAAGGCUGAGGAGCAGUCCGAGUUUGCUUGGUCAUUCAUUGGUCAGUGCCCAUUUGGCUAAAAGCAGAACCUUUUCUGCCACAGGCUCAUAGGUGGGCAAGACUGAAACCAAAGAACAUUUCAAGCAACUUUGUUGAAGAAGUUGCCCAAUCUCUUUAAUCGUGUUUUAAAAAUAGACGAUGAAAUGUAAGAGUUAAGGGCAAACAGCAUACAUUCAAAGAACACCAGGAACAUAACACCGACCUUUGCGCUCGGCCAGCGUGCAGAAUCCCUUCCCACAACACAGAGGCCCCUCCAGAAUCCCUUCCCACAACACAGAGGCCCCUCCACGCGGUGCUGCACAGACCUGGCCCGGAGCGGGGCUGGUGACCCAAGAAUCCCGCCUGUGAGUGAGACAUGAGUGGGCUGUGUCCCCGAGGCCCACAGAGGGUGGCGGGGGUGGCAGCCUCAGCUGGUGACCUCCUGGCAGCUGUGGGCAGCCCUCAUCACUCUCCCAGUCAUCAGAUGGUGCCCAGGUGGGGGCAGCAGGUGACAUCCGGUCCCCACCAGUCACCCUCUCUUCCUCCCUUCUUGACCACAUUUGCGCUUGGUGGCAGGGGAGCAGGGACAGAGUGGCCCUGCCUGGGGCAAGGCGCUGUGACAGGGAGAUGCGCCCUCCCCCACCUGAGGCCAGAGGCGUCCUGGGGUGGCCUGCAGCUCCUGUCCUCCUGGCCCCCUGUUCCCCUUCCCCUGCUGUUUGUGGAGGCCUGACAGGACAGGGAGGCUGGCCGCGGCUCCUCCCACUCACACACACCAGGGCAGAACUCAGGUGCAGAGAGGGGCAGAGUGCAGCCUAGUGUGUGUGGGGUGUGUGUGUGUGUGGGGGGGGGGGUGUGCGCAGUGUGUGACUGCACUGUA